rnacentral:rRNA from 1 species
UACGAUGGAGGGGCUAGCGUUGCUCGGAAUCACUGGGCGUAAAGGGUGCGUAGGCGGGUCUUUAAGUCAGGGGUGAAAUCCUGGAGCUCAACUCCAGAACUGCCUUUGAUACUGAAGAUCUUGAGUUCGGGAGAGGUGAGUGGAACUGCGAGUGUAGAGGUGAAAUUCGUAGAUAUUCGCAAGAACACCAGUGGCGAAGGCGGCUCACUGGCCCGAUACUGACGCUGAGGCACGAAAGCGUGGGGAGCAAACAGG